ensembl:lncRNA
AGCCAAUGGAAUUUCCUCAUCAUGAUAGAAAAACAAAUGUGUGGGAUUUACAGUGGCAGGUAGGAAACUGGAGUGUGGAAUUGGCCUGCAGUUCCCUGUCUUUAGGCAGGAAUGUGGCAAUCCAGGUUCAUGCAAAACUAGACCACAGUGAGAUGCUAUUGCAGCAGGGGGCGCUGGGAAAACUCUGGUUCAAGCUGCUGCUGGAUAUGACACGGAAAUGUCUGAUGAUAUCAGAGCGGUAUUCUGUUUGGAGGGACAUGACUGGUUUACCCUGGAGGCUCAGUGAGACCCUUACCCUUAUUUCUGAAGGAGCUGCCAAUCAGAGUCUGCUUUUUCAAGCUAAGGGAUACAGGGAAUGCCUGUGGGCCAUGGAGGUGAGAACAGCAAGGAGUUAUGAAGUUCUUUCAUUAUAUAAAUCUGCCAGAUGGCUUGUAAAACAUUGUUUUUCAUGUCUGGAUUGAUACUGUAUCUUUACAGGCAAGCCUCCAGCAGCUGGGGUCUAGGAUAAGGAGUUAACUGUUGGACAGAGUUCCGAGACUUCAGCAUCUACUGUUAACAUUCAGAAGACAGGUUUGUUUUAUCUCACAGGCUGUCCUGCUGCAUAUUUAGUCUAUGUUAAAAGGUUAGGUCAGUGGAAAAAAAAUCACUUACCCUCAUGUGGUUUAAACAUGUAUGCCUUUCUUUCUUCUGGGAACCAAAAAAGAAGAUAUUUUGAAGAAUGUUGCAGUGUUUUUUAAUCCAUACAGUGAAAAUCUGUGGGGUUCAAUGUUGUUUUGGACACCACUGACUUUCAUUGUAUGGAUAGUUGAGGUAUUCUUUAAAAUAUUUUUAUUCCACAGAAGAAAGGGUGCUUUGUAAGACUCAUAUAGAGUAUUUUAGAAUCAAAUACAUACCCUUUCAAAAGUUUGGGAUCAUUAUUUAUUUAUUUAUUUAUAUUGAAACUUUUAUUCAGCAAAUUUAUAAAAAGUAACUGUAAAAGUGACAGUUAAUGUUAUGAAAAAUUUCUAGAUUAUAUUUUUGGAAUGAACAUUUAAUCAAAUAAUCCUGAAUAAAAGUGUAUCAUGGUUUGCA